GGUCUUACGACGGUGCUUAGGCAACCGGAAUGUAAUUGCGCACGACUCCUCAAGUCAUAAAAACUCCUGGCCAGCCAGUCACUCCACGUAGAGGGCAGAAGAGGAGGAGGGAAGAUGAGUUGGGGAAGAGGCAUUUAGAUGGACUUUUAAACCAGGAAGUGCAGUGGAGAAGUGAAAGGUGUUAAAGAAGGAGGGGAAUCCAUACAAGCGAAGACAUCAAUCUGGAGAAAGGGGGAGUGGAGAUGACGGCCCGAGCGACGGUGACGCAGCGGAAUAAAGGAAAAUAAGAGUAACCUGGAUGACCUGUUGGAGAAGUGGGAAACUGCUGGCAUGCGCGAUAUCACAACUAUAGGGGUCGUGUCUUCUCCAACCUCCACUCAUCACGCUUAGGUGAGGGGUGGGAGUGUGAGGAGAGGAACCAGAAGGAAGCUGAGCGCUUGAGAGGUGGUCAGUGGGUGAAGGACAUGCCGCAGCCACUUAGUCAG
rnacentral:lncRNA from 1 species